rnacentral:tRNA from 1 species
GCCCUCGUAGCUCAACGGAUGGAGCAAGCCGCUUCUAUCGGCAAGGUUGCAGGUUCAAAUCCUGCCGAGGGCA